rnacentral:piRNA from 1 species
UGAAUACAAGUUAUUCUUCCUUGGG